rnacentral:lncRNA from 1 species
UACGUUUAUACUGCAAGUAACAAAUCAUUUCUUAAUCAACAGGAUUAUGGCUUCACUAAAUUUGUUGAGGUAUUUGGUUAUCAAAGAUAAUGAAGAUGACAACCAAACUGGAUUAUGGACAGAGCUUGGAAAGAUUGAAAAUAACUUUCUACAGCCACUUCAUGUAGGACUUAAUAUGUCAAAGGCACAUUAUGAAGCAGAGAUUAAAAACAGCCAACAAAAUAGCCAAGGCGGAGAAGAAAUCCCCACUAUGCCUCCUGAGAUGCAGCUUAAGGUCUUACAUUCCGCCCUCUUCACAUUCGACUUGAUUGAAAGUGUCCUGGCUCGAGUCGAAGAACUCAUUGAAAUCAAAUCAAAGUCUACCUCUGAGGAAAACGCUGGGAUGAAGUAAAAGCUCUACUUCAUGAAUAAAAACCAAUAAAAUGCCAUUUUUCAUUAUAGUUUAUACUGCCAUAAAAUAGUUGCAGAAAUUUUACUACAAGAAAAAUUGCAUAA